rnacentral:rRNA from 1 species
GUGGAGUAACCUUUUAGGAGCUAGCCGUCGAAGGUGGGACAAAUGAUUGGGGUGAAGUCGUAACAAGGUAGCCGUAUCGGAAGGUGCGGCUGGAUCACCUCCUUU